GGUACAAGCAGUAGCUUUUCCUUUAGCUGCACUGACAACCCGAACGCUUCAGCCAUAUCAAUGCCAUCUUUAUCUAUGGCUGCUUCAGCUGAAACAUCCCAGUCAAAAUGGUACAGAAGGUUUGCUAGGAUGAUCUCCAUGCUCGCAGAAGCAAAGUUUAUUCCAGGACAGAUCCGCCGCUUGCGCCAAACGGCAAGAACUGGAAGUCUGUCCCUAUGAAGUCUACGUUCGCGGCACUUCCACCAUCAACAAACCUCUCAGGCAAAAACUCCUCUGCAGCUUCCCAAGAUUCAGAGUUCCUUCCAAUAGCCCAUGCAUUGACGAUGACACGUGUCCCCGAGCGAACUGUGUAGCCAUCAAUAUCACAGUCAGCCAUCGCGAGAUGUGGGACGAGAAGAGGACUUGGUGGAUGCAACCGAAGUGUCUCCUUGAUGACAGCCUUGAGGUAGGUCAUGUUGGUCUGAUCACAUUCAGUGAUCAAUUCUCGUCCCUACUUGGGUAUGUUCGUUCUUAGUUCGGCCUGCAACUUGGCCAUGAGAUGUGGCUUCUGCAUAAGCUCGGCCAUGGCGAAUACUAGCACCACUGAUGUCGUCUCCAAAACUGCUUUAAUUACUCACUACUAGAAUUGCUUUAAGGUGAUCUCUGGUGAUGCCUCGCUCUUGAAGGAGCAAAACAUCUACGAAGUCCAUCUCAUCUUGAUCAUCAUUGCCUCUAUCAUGCUCACAUGGUUGUUUGCUCAUACGAUCAUUGAUAAUCUCGUCGAGCAAUUCAUCCCACAACUUCCUCGUGUUCCUGGCCUUGGCACACAUCACCCACGACACAGCUUUGAGCCUUGCCAAGCCUGGGUAGUAGUCCUCUAGGUUAAACCCUGCGAGGAGUACAUAAUUUGCUUUGAACAGUUGACGGAACAUUUUGUUUCGACCUUUGUCCCCUUGGAAGUUCUUCCCCGACACAAGGCGGCAUAUGAGGUCAUUCGAGUAGGUGCUGAAGAGCUCAAACAUGUCCACUCCCAUACCCUUGGUGGAUAACUCAUGGACUUUGAUAAUCAUGUACCUCCUCUUCUCGUGCUACAUGGUACGACCGCACCUUCUUGUUGGUCAGCAGGUGCGUUGUGACGAUCCUCCUGCUCCGCCGCCACUGCUCGCCGUAAGGCGAAAGCCCGACAUCGGACGGGCCGUAGAGGAGUAUGUCGCCGAUUAAAGAGUGUGGCCGUGACGCAAAGACAUGGUCAUGCGUGCGCAAGACAGCCUCUGCGGCGUGUGGGGAGGAGACGACGAGGUUCUGGACCUGGCCGAGGUGGAGGAGCAUGAGGUUGGGGCCGUACCGAUGAGCGAGCUCACGAAGAGAGACGUGCGGGAGGUCACCGAUGAGGUGCAGGUGCCCUAUGAUGGGUAACCUCGGAGGUGAAGGUGGGGA
rnacentral:sRNA from 1 species